rnacentral:rRNA from 1 species
UACGUGGGGGGCAAGCGUUGUUCGGAAUUACUGGGCGUAAAGGGCUCGUAGGCGGCCAACUAAGUCAGACGUGAAAUCCCCAGGCUCAACCUGGGAACUGCGUCUGAUACUGGAUGGCUUGAAUUCGGGAGAGGGAUGCAGAAUUCCAGGUGUAGCGGUGAAAUGCGUAGAUAUCUGGAGGAAUACCGGUGGCGAAGGCGGCAUCCUGGACCGACAUUGACGCUGAUGAGCGAAAGCUAGGGGAGCAAACGGG